rnacentral:misc_RNA from 1 species
AUACAUCUCGCCAUCUCUACGACGGUUUGAUUUCUACGCUCCACUACACCAUUUUGCUGCGGUGAGUAUGGAGCAGUAAGAAAUCGUUUAACUCCCUGUUCUUCACAAAAUAAUUUGAAUGCUGUGGAAGUAAACUCUCCUCCCCGAUCGGUUCUGAUUGCUCUUAGCUUUUUAUCAGAUUCAGUUUCAACGAAUAUCUUGAAUUUCUUGAAAUUAGCUAGAGCCUCAUCCUUGCUUUUCAACAUAUAUACCCACAUAAAUCGGGAAA